CAUCACAUGGCCGGCCUAACUGCUCGGUCACUGGCCGCAGGUGUUGCUUGGAUUUAUCAUGAAAAAACUUGCUCUCAGGUUCGAUCUUUGGGAUGAACUUAGUGUAAGGGGUUCCACUUCCAGUUGGAGUUGGUGAUACUCAUCACGUUGUCAUGACGGAAACUGAUCCCGAGACCAUGCUGAAGUUUUUCAAAGGCUGCUGGAAAUUUAAUCGUGAAGUGAGAUCUCUAACAAAUGGUGCUCUACUUGGCUCUGUCCGUGAUGGGGAAGCUUCAUACUUACCCUGGUGCAAGUUGGAGAGUGACACAGACACCAAAGAGAAAUGGCUGUUGUAUAGAGAAAGAGGACAUUUUAAUAACCUAGAAUAUGUCUCUGCCUCUGGGCCAUUUACAAGACAAUAUUUGUACUGUUUUGAUAUGCAAGAUGGUAAAGUCAAUGCAUAUCACUGCUCAAAACAUGCACAGGCUGUAGAAAAUGACCUGAAGCCCUUUAAUACAGGUUUUAGUACAAAUUUAUUCUAUGAGGCAGGGUAUUUUCAUGAUUUAAACUUCAAAGAAACCAACAAAGAUGAGCAAAGUGGCUUUAAACCUGUGGAAGCUAUGUGCCAACACCCAUGUGGUGAUGAUAUCUAUGAUGGAUUUUACGAAUUGCAAUCACAAAAAAAUUUUACAACGACAUGGAAAGUUGUAGGGCCUCAAAAAUCAUUUAAAAUUGUUACAGUUUAUAGAAAAAUGGAAGAUCAACCCAACUUAACAAAUAAUGUUUGAAGAUGCACAGAUUAUGUCAUUCUUAUAUACUUUCUGGAAAUUUUAAUACUUUCACACCGUUUUACUAGUACUAGUACUUAAGAUGGAUCACAUUUCAGAGAUGAUACAGAUCAGCCUCUUUAUUAUGUAUGCAGACUGUUCCCUAUGCUAGUUACGUUUUCUGAAUGUCCACAUUUAAAUGAUAGCAUAUGAUUAAAAAUUGGUUGUGAUUAAGCUUUUCAGAAUUAUGUAAUUUAUUGCAUCAAAUGUGACAAAAAUUCUUCAUGCAUGCCAUCAUUCUGCAAUUCUUCUGCUAGCUUACUUUUAAUAAAAUAAAAAAAAAGUUAAAUGGAUCUUUAUAUUGACAAUCAGUACAUACACUAAGAGGGCAUUCCCAGAGAUUUAGAUCGUUCUUACUAGAUCAACCUAACUCCGUGGGGGUUCACGCUAAAUUACGGUCAAAUGCAUGGAAGUUAAUUACCCCUUUACACCUUGUAGUAGGCAGAACGACAUUUAAGCGGGAUUAUCUGACAGUAAUCUAGUGAGACUCCCCACGGGGAUAGAUCGUUCUAAAAUCUAUGGGAAUGUGCCCUUAGUGUAAUCAGUCGGAGUUCUUUGUGGCAAUGUAAAGUUGAAAUAUUGUAAGCAAACUAAGGUUUUCAUCAAAGGCCAGCAGAGAGCACUCUUCCUCCUGAACAUUGGCAUUCCCAAAGCAUUGUAACGGCUCACCUGAUUUGAAACAGUGAACCAAUAUAUUCUAAUAUUUUGCGUGACAUAAAAAUAACGAUGGUAAUAAUGUUAGAGAAUCGUGUUACAUAUUAGGUGCAUAGGACUUUGAUAGUCAUGCCUUAUGUUAAUAGACGUUUUCAACAAAGGGAACAGGCUUUUGCAUGAUGUAUUUCUAUACAUUAGUUUUGUUUAGAGUGCUUAUAGUAUACGUCUACCAUGCAAAAAAAGAGCGAUCCCAUGCUGUGAGCAAUGACUCGGGAUUAAGAUCAAACCUAACUUAUGGUUUUGAAAUACUUGAUCUAUAUAUGUAAUGAUGAUGUGUAUUUAUUUAUGUAACUUUGUUGCUUUUUUAUUUGUGUAAUGUUGUAGUAAGAUGUUUUUGUCUAUGGUUGUACCUUCUUUAUGAAGGUAUAUAUCAAUAAAGAGUCCUACAAA